CCUGCUUCAUUACUAACACACAUCAAAGCCAAGGCGAUUUAGAGAGCAACUGCACUGUUUUGCCUUCAUAUUAUUUUCAGGCUAUUCCUGAAGUUGAGGCCCUCAGAGCUUGAAGCAACCUCUCUGCCUACUUGUGUUACUUCCUACAACAGCAGAGAACAUGCACUCUCCUCAUCAGGCCCAGGAGGUGAUGACCGGCCCAUCCCAGGAAUCGAGACCAGGAACUCUAGACCUCUGUGAAAAGCAAGUAGAUGAACAACUCCACAGGUGAAGCAUAUCUCUCAUGGUUAUUAUCAAAAAGGAGAGAACAGCACAGAUGCUCCCUCCCUUUCCUCCCAUGAUGUGCGUCUGCCAAGAGGACUGCUGGGAGCUGAGAAGCACCAUGAAUCAUACCCCCAACUCAUUGGUGGAUGACUCCCCAAGAAGGGCAAUCCAAUCCCUCCUAGGACAUGGAUCCUUCUCUAAGGAUGUGACAAACAUGGGUGGGCCAACUGAGUGUCUCUCAGCCUAGCAGAUCAUUCAAGGCACUGACCUCCCCUUCUCCAGGACAUCUCCUGCUGUGGCUUCUCACUUCUGGCUCUUCUUUGCAUUUUACAUAUCUUGUGCGAAUGUGCUCAUACCAACCUUCCUGUCAUGUCCUCUUGCUGUUGUGGUCAUCAAUCAGGCCCAGUUUGGGGACCCGCCCUUUCAGGGCCAAGGACAGAAUUUGAUGGGGGAACUUUUAAUAAAAGGCACCUGACGUCAGCAACCUUUCAGCCCAAAGGCUGAAAGUGACAAGAAAAAUUAGUCUCAGUGACACAUAAGAAAUAACUGAAGUUAAGACCUUAAACAAAAUCAUAAAAUUUGUAUGCCCUCUCCCUCCUCUGUGGCAUCACCCCUGUCUGCAUCCCUUCUCUAGAGUUCCAGCCACCAAAGUCACCUCCUCCUUUUUGUCUCCUAAGGACUCCUAAAACCUUCAUGUGGCCAAGCUCAGAUGGGCAUCAAGAGAUUACCCAAUGAAAGCCAAUUUUUGUUAAUGAUCCCAGGGUGAGCUGUAUUGUGUUUGUUUGUUAAUACUGAGUUCAAGGAUAAUAAUAAUAGCAACCAACACUUAUAUAGCACUUCCUAGGUGCCAGGCACUGUUCUGACUGCUUUAUAAAAAUCAACCCAUUUAAUCUUCACAAUAAACCUCAGAGAGAAAACUAAUAUAAUCGCCACCUGAAGUGAGGUAAUUCACUCACAUCCACAUGGCUGAAAAACAGCAAUGCUAGGAUUGUCCUUCACCAAGAAAAUAUCUGUAGUCAGCGGACUUAGAAAGGUGCAUUAUUUUAAAUUGGGGAUCAAUUGGGGCGUUGGCAGUUUGGGGAUAGUUGGGUAGGAGAAAUGGGAAAUGGAAGUUGGAAAGAUAAGUCAGAAUGGGCAGGUGGUUGGGGCUUACCUUGUAGAAGCAACAAGAGGCAAUUUGGACAGGAAGUUGGAGACUGAGAAGUCUGGAUGCCCACAGGAUCCAGCAAGUCAGUUGGAUGGAAGUCAGUGGGCACUGCCCUGGGAGAGUAGCCCAGGUAUCAGAGGCUCCUCACAGGACCCAUGGCCCCAGACUGGCCCCAGGCAGCCCAUAGGAGGGUAACCCCAGCGAGAAUGGCCCAGACCAGGGAGGAAUGGAGACCCCAAGCAGGGCUGCAAUAGUUAAGACUCAGCUUCUUCUGGAUUGGGACUUUGUUUCUAUACAGAAAUAUAAUCUGA
rnacentral:lncRNA from 1 species